rnacentral:rRNA from 1 species
UACGUAGGGGGCUAGCGUUGUCCGGAUUUAUUGGGCGUAAAGAGCGUGUAGGCGGCCAGGUAGGUCUGCUGUGAAAACUCGAGGCUCAACCUCGAGACGUCGGCGGAAACCAUCUGGCUAGAGUCCGGAAGAGGAGAGUGGAAUUCCUGGUGUAGCGGUGAAAUGCGCAGAUAUCAGGAAGAACACCGAUGGGCGAAGGCAGCUCUCUGGGACGGUACUGACGCUGAGACGCGAAAGCGUGGGGAGCAAACAGG